rnacentral:tRNA from 1 species
GGGUCGGUGGUCUAGGGGUAUGAUACCUCCUUGACAUGGAGGUGAUCGUGAGUUCGAAUCUCGCUCGACCCA